rnacentral:rRNA from 1 species
UCCUGACUGACCGAUAGUGAACCAGUACCGUGAGGGAAAGGCGAAAAGAACCCCGGCGAGGGGAGUGAAAAAGAACCUGAAACCGUGUACGUACAAGCAGUGGGAGCACGCUUAGGCGUGUGACUGCGUACCUUUUGUAUAAUGGGUCAGCGACUUAUAUUCUGUAGCAAGGUUAACCGAAUAGGGGAGCCGAAGGGAAACCGAGUCUUAACUGGGCGUUAAGUUGCAGGGUAUAGACCCGAAACCCGGUGAUCUAGCCAUGGGCAGGUUGAAGGUUGGGUAACACUAACUGGAGGACCGAACCGACUAAUGUUGAAAAAUUAGCGGAUGACUUGUGGCUGGGGGUGAAAGGCCAAUCAAACCGGGAGAUAGCUGGUUCUCCCCGAAAGCUAUUUAGGUAGCGCCUCGUGAAUUCAUCUCCGGGGGUAGAGCACUGUUUCGGCAAGGGGGUCAUCCCGACUUACCAACCCGAUGCAAACUGCGAAUACCGGAGAAUGUUAUCACGGGAGACACACGGCGGGUGCUAACGUCCGUCGUGAAGAGGGAAACAACCCAGACCGCCAGCUAAGGUCCCAAAGUCAUGGUUAAGUGGGAAACGAUGUGGGAAGGCCCAGACAGCCAGGAUGUUGGCUUAGAAGCAGCCAUCAUUUAAAGAAAGCGUAAUAGCUCACUGGUCGAGUCGGCCUGCGCGGAAGAUGUAACGGGGCUAAACCAUGCACCGAAGCUGCGGCAGCGACGCUUAUGCGUUGUUGGGUAGGGGAGCGUUCUGUAAGCCUGCGAAGGUGUGCUGUGAGGCAUGCUGGAGGUAUCAGAAGUGCGAAUGCUGACAUAAGUAACGAUAAAGCGGGUGAAAAGCCCGCUCGCCGGAAGACCAAGGGUUCCUGUCCAACGUUAAUCGGGGCAGGGUGAGUCGACCCCUAAGGCGAGGCCGAAAGGCGUAGUCGAUGGGAAACAGGUUAAUAUUCCUGUACUUGGUGUUACUGCGAAGGGGGGACGGAGAAGGCUAUGUUGGCCGGGCGACGGUUGUCCCGGUUUAAGCGUGUAGGCUGGUUUUCCAGGCAAAUCCGGAAAAUCAAGGCUGAGGCGUGAUGACGAGGCACUACGGUGCUGAAGCAACAAAUGCCCUGCUUCCAGGAAAAGCCUCUAAGCAUCAGGUAACAUCAAAUCGUACCCCAAACCGACACAGGUGGUCAGGUAGAGAAUACCAAGGCGCUUGAGAGAACUCGGGUGAAGGAACUAGGCAAAAUGGUGCCGUAACUUCGGGAGAAGGCACGCUGAUAUGUAGGUGAAGUCCCUUGCGGAUGGAGCUGAAAUCAGUCGAAGAUACCAGCUGGCUGCAACUGUUUAUUAAAAACACAGCACUGUGCAAACACGAAAGUGGACGUAUACGGUGUGACGCCUGCCCGGUGCCGGAAGGUUAAUUGAUGGGGUCAGCGCAAGCGAAGCUCUUGAUCGAAGCCCCGGUAAACGGCGGCCGUAACUAUAACGGUCCUAAGGUAGCGAAAUUCCUUGUCGGGUAAGUUCCGACCUGCACGAAUGGCGUAAUGAUGGCCAGGCUGUCUCCACCCGAGACUCAGUGAAAUUGAACUCGCUGUGAAGAUGCAGUGUACCCGCGGCAAGACGGAAAGACCCCGUGAACCUUUACUAUAGCUUGACACUGAACAUUGAGCCUUGAUGUGUAGGAUAGGUGGGAGGCUUUGAAGUGUGGACGCCAGUCUGCAUGGAGCCGGCCUUGAAAUACCACCCUUUAAUGUUUGAUGUUCUAACGUGGACCCGUGAUCCGGGUUGCGGACAGUGUCUGGUGGGUAGUUUGACUGGGGCGGUCUCCUCCUAAAGAGUAACGGAGGAGCACGAAGGUUGGCUAAUCCUGGUCGGACAUCAGGAGGUUAGUGCAAUGGCAUAAGCCAGCUUGACUGCGAGCGUGACGGCGCGAGCAGGUGCGAAAGCAGGUCAUAGUGAUCCGGUGGUUCUGAAUGGAAGGGCCAUCGCUCAACGGAUAAAAGGUACUCCGGGGAUAACAGGCUGAUACCGCCCAAGAGUUCAUAUCGACGGCGGUGUUUGGCACCUCGAUGUCGGCUCAUCACAUCCUGGGGCUGAAGUAGGUCCCAAGGGUAUGGCUGUUCGCCAUUUAAAGUGGUACGCGAGCUGGGUUUAGAACGUCGUGAGACAGUUCGGUCCCUAUCUGCCGUGGGCGCUGGAGAACUGAGGGGGGCUGCUCCUAG